AGCUUUGUGCAGUGGCAGUAUCAUAGCCUAUGAGGUUUAUCUGAGGCAUGAUUGUUGCUAAUUGUUAAGGAAAGGUUGCUCAAUGCAUUUCCUGUCAAAAUCAUUCCUAUUACCUCAGGGAUCCUGGGGAAGUCACAGCUGCUCUGGCAAGGG
ensembl:snRNA U4 U4 spliceosomal RNA